rnacentral:rRNA from 1 species
UACGAAGGGGGCUAGCGUUGUUCGGAAUCACUGGGCGUAAAGCGCGCGUAGGCGGUUACUUAAGUCGGAUGUGAAAGCCCUCGGCUUAACUGAGGAAGUGCAUCCGAAACUGAGUAGCUGGAGUACGAAAGAGGGUCGCGGAAUUCCCGGUGUAGAGGUGAAAUUCGUAGAUAUCGGGAGGAACACCGGUGGCGAAGGCGGCGACCUGGGUCGAGACUGACGCUGAGGCGCGAAAGCGUGGGGAGCAAACAGG